GGUCGAUUUAAACAAAUUAUCGCUAAAUAAAAGCCUUUUAAUAGUUAAGUUUUACUAGUGCAGUGACAUAAAAUACCAAGAACAGCAACUGUGAGUAAAUUUUUAAUAUUAACUGCAUUCAGACGAUUUUUGUUAGGCUGAUUGAGGUUAGAUAUCAGAUACACAAGACUGAAAAGUAAUUAGCUAGUAAAAACUCGCCUAGCGAAAUAAAGAAUUUUUAACAACAAAAGGCAGGGUCGGCCUGGGAAAAAUGUUUUGGACAAUAAUUAUAUUUAACAAAAUAACUUAGCAAAUUUGAAUAUUUUAAAUAAAAUGUCACAACCAACAUUUACAAAUCAAUCUUCAUCCACCAACACUCACCCA
rnacentral:lncRNA from 1 species